AGUGUAGGCGGUCUUGUAAGUCGGAUGUGAAAGCCCCGGGCUCAACCCGGGAAGUGCACUCGAUACUGCGAGGCUAGAGUAUCGGAGAGGUUGGUGGAAUUCUCGGUGUAGAGGUGAAAUUCGUAGAUAUCGAGAGGAACACCGGUGGCGAAGGCGGCCAACUGGACGAAUACUGACGCUGAGACUCGAAAGCGUGGGGAGCAAACA
rnacentral:rRNA from 1 species